CGUUGUCGACGCCGGCGUAGGGCUCGUCAUCGACGCGACCGGCGUCGACGACUUACCCGCCAGGGUUUCGGCGUCGGGUAUGUGCCUCGUCUGGUGCCUCGAGUCGGUGUAACGUCUCUUGGUAUACUUUUUAUUCUCAUUCGUAGCAGCCGACGACGAAUUAAGGUUCGUCGACGGGACGACCGACUGGGACUGUUGACUCGGUUGGGACACCGUCGAAGGACUGGGACCGUCCGGUCUGGAUAUGUGCAACAUCCUCUCGAUGUCGGCCGUCUUCGACCUGGGGAGAACGCGACGUAGAGAGAACCGAGGUAUUCUCGCGGUGAAUGCGGACCGACGAUACCUUCGCUGCAACCGGAUAUCGAACGUUGACGCUGCCUCCUGGGCGGUGCGCAGGGCUGCCUGGGUCCCUCUUCGAUGUAGGGAAUAUCCGGAUCGUCGAGAUUCAAGGUGAACGCACCGCUCAUAGGAAUAGUCAGACUCGCCGUUAUCACCAUGGGGGAUGACUUUCUCCUGAGAUCCGCGGGAUCUUCGCUGGAUCCGCUGUCGACGCUGUUGCUCCGAGCGUUCUCGUCCUUUCGACGACUGCCGGGACGCUUGGGUCGCCUAGGUCUGGGCCCGAUGUCCCCCCCGACACCGGCCGUCUGAUGGAGGCAUUGUUCCCGCGUCCAAACACGGCGGGACGCCGCGGGCGCCGCGCCUUCCUCCGGAAACGUUUCCGCCUCGCUGCAAGGGUCCACCUCGU
rnacentral:misc_RNA from 1 species